rnacentral:snRNA from 1 species
AAUCCCGCAAGGAGGUAGAAAGUUGGUCACGAUCGAGCAGAAGCACAGGCGCAACAUAGCACGCAGAC